ACCUACGGGGGGCAGCAGUGAGGAAUAUUGGUCAAUGGGAGAGAUCCUGAACCAGCCAAGCCGCGUGAGGGAAGACGGCCCUAUGGGUUGUAAACCUCUUUUGUCGGAGAACAAAACCCGGGACGUGUCCCGGACUGCGUGUAUCCGAAGAAAAAGCAUCGGCUAACUCCGUGCCAGCAGCCGCGGUAAUACGGAGGAUGCGAGCGUUAUCCGGAUUUAUUGGGUUUAAAGGGUGCGUAGGCGGUCCGUUAAGUCAGCGGUAAAAUUGCGGGGCUCAACCCCGUCGAACCGUUGAAACUGGCAGA
rnacentral:rRNA from 1 species